CCAAAUAUAGUUAUUUCAUAAUAUCUCUUUGUUAAUGAGAAGGUUUAGUUUUGG
rnacentral:tRNA from 1 species